rnacentral:rRNA from 1 species
CAGCCGCCGCGGUAAUACGUAGGGUCCGAGCGUUGUCCGGAAUUAUUGGGCGUAAAGGGCUCGUAGGCGGUUUGUUGCGUCGGGAGUGAAAACCUACAGCUUAACUGUGGGCUUGCUUUCGAUACGGGCAGACUUGAGGCAUUCAGGGGAGAACGGAAUUCCUGGUGUAGCGGUGAAAUGCGCAGAUAUCAGGAGGAACACCGGUGGCGAAGGCGGUUCUCUGGGAAUGUUCUGACGCUGAGGAGCGAAAGUGUGGGGAGCGAACAGGAUUAGAUACCCGCGUAGUCCCUGUCUCUUAUAC